rnacentral:rRNA from 1 species
UACGUAGGGUGCAAGCGUUGUCCGGAAUUAUUGGGCGUAAAGAGCUCGUAGGCGGUUUGUCGCGUCGGCUGUGAAAACUCGGGGCUCAACCCCGAGCCUGCAGUCGAUACGGGCAAACUAGAGUGUGGUAGGGGAGACUGGAAUUCCUGGUGUAGCGGUGAAAUGCGCAGAUAUCAGGAGGAACACCAAUGGCGAAGGCAGCUCGCUGGGACGGUACUGACGCUGAGACGCGAAAGCGUGGGGAGCAAACAGG